CCCAGCAAUGUCAGCACAGCUAAAUUUACUGGAUGAAAUGAGUCAUUAGCAGAAAGCCAUUUUAUCCCCAGUAGCAUGACUGUCCAGUCCCUCUCCUCCCAACCACUCCUCAUCCAGCUCCCCCAGAAUCUCUUGAAGGGACAGCUCAGGUAGGGGGGUGUGCUGGACGAGUGCUGGAUGUCCGGACUUCCCACAGCCUUCCAGAGCGGCCCUGCUCCAUGAAUCUCCCACCUGCGAGUACUGACCUUCUGGAGGUGGGCUGUUCUCCAGACUGGCAUCCCAGUAACCAGAAUCUGGAGUGUCUGGAGUUGAGGAGUGGGAGGUGGAGCAGGGAAUGUACAUCUGCUGCUCUGCUGAUCCAGGAUACAUGAAGGCUGCCUGACUGGACAUUGAGCUGUAGUUUCUCAUCUCAAGGGGAGAGUGGCACCACACAGGCGGGACAGGGGAGGUUUGGGCACCUGACUGGGACCAGAAGCCCCUCAAGGGUGGGCUGGAGCUACUUGCCAACGGUCUGCCCUGCUGGAGUCCAUACAUGGAGCCGUAGUGUCUGUGCUCCUCAAUGGUGGAGUAGGAUGGAGGACACUGUCCAUAGUAGCAGGCUUCCUCCAUCUCCUCCUUCACUGGGGUUGGGUAGGCUGGUGGAGGGCCCUGAGGUGGCAGAUGGGCUGAGCCAACCUGUGGGCCCCUGCUAGCUACAGCAUGAGGUGGAGGUGGAGCAUCACGGACCGGGCUAUCAGACUGCCACAGCGCUUUUUUUGCUCCUUUGCACUUCAGGGUGCGAGCUCUUCUGUUCUGAAACCACACCUGGACAGGAAAGAAAGAAAACAGGAGCUUAGAUUCAGGCCAGAUAAACAACAGAUUCUGUCCAGUUAAUCAUUUUCUGGGUAAACAGGCACCAGUGUAUUUGGGGGUGCGGGGGGACAGAUCUAGUAGAUGUCAGCUGUCAGAGCCUGUUGUACAGUCUAUCAGUUCAAACAAGAUCCUGAUAAAAACAGCUUGUGUCAUCUUUAAAGAUAAAGAAAUAAAGCGAUAGUGUGAUAGCGGUAUCUACAAUUCUAUGCAGGAUACAUUUGAAAACAGAGCCCUUUUAUGAUAAGAAACCUCAGCAGAAAAUGCCUUACAACACAACUAUAUCUCUGUGUCCUACUUAUGCUUAUGUGAAAAGCAUGCAUGUGUGUCAUCUUGGAAUGACACCAAUUUCCAAAUAAACAUUUCCAAACUUA